rnacentral:rRNA from 1 species
UACGUAGGGGACAAGCGUUGUCCGGAUUUACUGGGCGUAAAGGAUGCGUAGGCGGACAUUUAAGUCAGAUGUGAAAUACCCGAGCUUAACUUGGGUGCUGCAUUUGAAACUGGGUGUCUAGAGUGCAGGAGAGGUAAGUGGAAUUCCUAGUGUAGCGGUGAAAUGCGUAGAGAUUAGGAAGAACACCAGUGGCGAAGGCGACUUACUGGACUGUAACUGACGCUGAGGCACGAAAGCGUGGGGAGCAAACAGG